rnacentral:rRNA from 1 species
GACGAGCGCUGGCGGCGUGCUUAACACAUGCAAGUCGAACGGUGAAGCCCUUCGGGGUGGCUCAGUGGCGAACGGGUGAGUAACACGUGAGCAACCUGCCCCUGGCUCUGGGACAACCACUGGAAACGGUGGCUAAUACCGGAUACGACCCGCCUCGCCAUCGAGUGUGGGUGGAAAGUUUUUCGGCUGGGGAUGGGCUCGCGGCCUAUCAGCUUGUUGGUGAGGUGAAGGCUCACCAAGGCGACGACGGGUAGCCGGCCUGAGAGGGCGACCGGCCACACUGGGACUGAGACACGGCCCAGACUCCUACGGGAGGCAGCAGUGGGGAAUAUUGCACAAUGGGCGAAAGCCUGAUGCAGCGACGCCGCGUGAGGGAUGACGGCCUUCGGGUUGUAAACCUCUUUCAGCUCCGAAGAAGCGAAAGUGACGGUAGGAGCAGAAGAAGCACCGGCUAACUACGUG